ACCCGCUGAACUUAAGCUCUGAUCCGCUUUGAAAGAACCCCACAGGGAUUUGCCCCAGUAACGGCCAGUGAAGCGGCAACAGCUCAAAUUUGAAAUCUGGCCUUCGGGUCCGAGUUGUAAUUUGGAGAGGAUGCUUCUGGCGCGGCGCCGUCCGAGUUCCUUGGAACAGGACGCCAUAGAGGGUGAGAGCCCCGUACGGGCGGACGCCUAGCCUUUGUGAAGCUCCUUCGACGAGUCGAGUAGUUUGGGAAUGCUGCUCAAAAUGGGAGGUAAAUUUCUUCUAAAGCUAAAUACCGGCCAGAGACCGAUAGCGCACAAGUAGAGUGAUCGAAAGAUGAAAAGCACUUUGAAAAGAGGGUUAAAAAGUACGUGAAAUUGUUGAAAGGGAAGCGCCUGUGACCAGACUUGCUGCCCGCGGAUCAUCCGGCGUUCCUCGCCGGUGCACUCCGCGGGCGGCAGGCCAGCAUCGGUUUUCCUGGGGGGUCAAAGGUCGCGGGAACGUGGCUCCUUCGGGAGUGUUAUAGCCCGCGGCGUCAUGCCUCUGGGGGGACCCGAGGACCGCGCUUCGGCAAGGAUGCUGGCGUAAUGGUCACCGGCGACCCGUCUUGAAACACGGACCAAGGAGUCAAGCAUUGGGGCCNAGUGUCUGGGUGCCAAACCCGCACGCGAAAUGAAAGUAAACGCAGGUGAGAGCUUCGGCGCAUCACCGACCGAUCCUGAUGUCUUCGGAUGGAUUUGAGUAAGAGCCUUACCGCUUGGACCCGAAAGAUGGUGAACUAUGCCUGUAUAGGGUGAAGCCAGAGGAAANCUCUGGUGGAGGCUCGCAGCGGUUCUGACGUGCAAAUCGAUCGUCAAAUAUGGGCAUGGGGGCGAAAGACUAAUCGAACCAUCUAGUAGCUGGUUACCGCCGAAGUUUCCCUCAGGA
rnacentral:rRNA from 2 species